UGGGGAAUAUUGGACAAUGGGGGCAACCCUGAUCCAGCGAUGCCGCGUGUGUGAAGAAGGCCUGCGGGUUGUAAAGCACUUUCAGUGGGGAGGAGGGCUUGUUGGUUAAGAGCUGACGAGAGGGACGUUACCCACAGAAGAAGCACCGGCUAACUCCGUGCCAGCAGCCGCGGUAAUACGGAGGGUGCAAGCGUUAAUCGGAAUUACUGGGCGUAAAGGGUGCGUAGAUGGUUGUAUAAGUUAAGUGUAAAAUCCCCGGGCUUAACCUGGGCAGGUCACUUAAGACUGUACGACUAGAGUAUGGGAGAGGGUAGUGGAAUUUCCGGUGUAGCGGUGAAAUGCGUAGAGAUCGGAAGGAACACCAGUGGCGAAGGCGGCUACCUGGCCCAAUACUGACGUUGAGGCACGAAAGCGUGGGGAGCAAACAGGAUUAGAUACCCACGUAGUCCCUGAGCGGGCUGGCAAGGCGCAU
rnacentral:rRNA from 1 species